rnacentral:rRNA from 1 species
UGAAUUGCAGAAUUCAGUGAAUCAUCGAAUCUUUGAACGCAAAUGGCGCUUUUGGGUUCUCCCAGGAGCAUGUCUGUCUGAGUGUCU